UAUUAGAUGACUGAAAAGUAAGUAUUGAUCUCUUAAAUCAAAAAUAGUAAAAUUUUAUAAAUAAAAACAAGUUACUUCUAAUAA
rnacentral:tRNA from 1 species